AGAGUUUGAUCAUGGCUCAGGAUGAACGCUGGCGGCGUGCCUAAUACAUGCAAGUCGAACGAGGUUAGAUUCGUCUAACCUAGUGGCGAACGGGUGAGUAACACGUAGGUAACCUGCCCUUCAGUUGGGAAUACCUAGAGGAAACUUUAGUUAAUACCGAAUAAUUACGAGGAAGGCAUCUUCCUUUUAUAAAAGUAGCAAUUGCUACGCUGAUGGAUGGACCUGCGGCGCAUUAGCUAGUUGGUAGGGUAACGGCCUACCAAGGCUCGGAUGCGUAGCCGACCUGAGAGGGUGAUCGGCCACAAUGGGACUGAGACACGGCCCAUACUCCUACGGGAGGCAGCAGUAGGGAGUUUUCGGCAAUGGGGGCAACCCUGACGCAGCAACGCCGCGUGAGUGAGGAAGGUUUUCGGACCGUAAAGCUCUGUCGAGCGGGAAGAAAUGCAUGCUGGCUAAUAUCCAGCAUGCUUGACGGUACCGCUAGAGGAAGCACCGGCUAACUCCGUGCCAGCAGCCGCGGUAAUACGGGGGGUGCAAGCGUUGUUCGGAAUUAUUGGGCGUAAAGAGCGUGUAGGCGGUUGGACAAGUCAGAUGUGAAAGCCCUGGGCUUAACUCAGGAAGUGCAUUUGAAACUGUUCAGCUGGAGUAAGGGAGAGGAAAGUGGAAUUCCUGGUGUAGAGGUGAAAUUCGUAGAUAUCAGGAGGAACACCGGUGGCGAAGGCGACUUUCUGGCCCUAUACUGACGCUGAGACGCGAGAGCGUGGGUAGCAAACAGGAUUAGAUACCCUGCUAGUCCACGCUGUAAACGAUGUUCACUAGGUGUUGGGGAGUAUUGACCCUCU
rnacentral:rRNA from 1 species